rnacentral:misc_RNA from 1 species
GGCGACGGUGGCGGUGGCGCUGCAACGUCAUCAUCCUCGUCAUCUUCAUCUUUCUCUUACUCGAGUGGUAGCGGCGGUGGAGACGUUCAUCACUUCACUUCCCGGCCGCCAAACCCCAUAAUGUCGGCAGUCCCUGCCCGUGCACGCAGCAAGCGCCCCCGUCCUUCCACCUUCUCCGCCCGUCCCCAUGUCAUCGUCCUCCCGCCAUCUGAGCCGGAGUGUUUCGGGGAGUCCACCCCUCCAGCAGCUGAAAGAAAGAUCAAGAUAAAGAUAAGGAAUCCGAAUCCGAAUCCGACUGCUGUUUUCACUGGCGGAGAAGAAAACACCGGUCCAACGCC